GGACCAAGUGCUAUAGUUCAGAGCUUGGGUAAAUGUGCAACCACGCUGCUUCCUCAGUGCUCCAAACAGAGAGAAUUCUUAUGCAAAUUUAAGAAUCUGCCCUUGUGGAGAGGAGCGAUCUCCUUUUACAACUGUCUGGGAUUUGUAUGGAGGUGGAAUUCGGCAGUUACAGAAAACCAGUAGGAGCCUUCUGAGCUCACAGAACCUCCAGAACAUCAGCUGGAAGUGCAGUGGCUGCAUCUGGAGACCCUGUGCCCCAGUCCUCGGGCUGAGCUUUGAAGAAGAGACCUCCAGCAGCACUGGUGAGUACAGAGAUGGCCACGGAGACAGAAAUGAAAGCGGCAGAGCACCGCGAGGGCACAGCCGAGGCUUGUGGAGACAGCGCUCCAACUCUCCAGACAGCAUGUCUACUUCUGGAGAACUCCUCCUGGGACUGAAGAUGUUAAAUGUGCAGCAGGAACCAAGUUGCACUGCCUCUGCUCUAUCGGCCUAUGAAUUAAGGAAGUCCAUGUGGAAAGAAGAGAGGAAUGCAAUUGAAAAAAAACAGAAUGGAGACCACAGGUAAAAAACUAAGAUUUUUUUCCACCCAAUUUCUUUUCAGGAUGAUUGUAAAGAAACAACUAAAACUGGAAUAAAAGGAGAUACAGUGUAAUAUAGAACUGGGUACAGAUGCUAGGGUCGAGCCUUUUAAUUUCAGAUUCUUUGGCCUCAAUUUCUUCAACUGGAAAAAUAAAAAUAGUAAUAAUUACACCUGCCCUGUAGGUUUUUGAAAGUGACAUGAGAUAUCCUGUUUGGGAAGAAAAGAGGCAGAGGUUAGAGAAAUAGAAGAAAAAAGACAAAAUAAUGAAAUAUUACGGAUUUGUAGGGUUAUUUAUUCAUUUUAUUUUCCUCAGCAUGACAUGAAGACUCAGUUAAUAUGGAGAAAUAUCGCAUAUACAAUGGCAUGUAGAGCAGUUGUGCUAGCCUAGUAAGUAAGUCAGCACGAAACCUUUAUCAAGCAACUAUUUUUUUAAAAAUCUGGAGUGGUGGGUUUAAUUCACUAGCUAAUUUCCUUGAUCCUAUGGAGACUAAAUUAGUUCAGAACAUGUCAUAUUAUACAACUUCUUUACUGUAAUUUUCCAGCAACUCCCCCAAGCUUUGUACUUUUAGGAGCCUCCCAGGGAGAUAUUACAAGUUCAUCUUCUCCCACAAAGACCGAAUGAGUUCGACGCCUUAAGGCUGUGUAGUUCUCAGACAGCAAAUUGCCACUUAUCGGUGCCUGGCUUGAGGAACCGAAGUAAGGAUAGGUACCUAGUGGCUCUAGAGCCUUCCAACAAUCCUGUUCCUCUUCUCUGGCCCAAGUCAUGCUGUACGAUUGAAUUAUUGCUCCUUUUUCCAUCUUAACAUCAUAUAUUUUUCAUCAUAAAAUAGACUAUUCUGUUUAAAUGACACAUUCUACUCUAUCUAAAAAUGGAAACCUCAAAGAAAUAUGGUAUUUGAGGAAUCAUAAAAUUGACAUUUUUUAAAAAACUCAUUUCUUCUGCCACAAGCACAAAAUCUUCAAAAAAGAUCAUGGGAGAGAAUGGUCUCACUCAUAAAUGAAAUUGCAUACUUAGCUUUUCUGUGGAUGGCAAGAUGAAACAACUGAUAAACCAGAAGUGGGUAUUUCAUGACGAACUUUGGAAAAGGGGCUAUCAUUUUGGAUACUAAACCCAUUAUAAUUCAUUAAGACAUGUCAUAAAUUUGUGCUGUUUUAUCUCUAAGAGAUCAGAAGCUGUCAAGCAGUUUCCCUGAGAUCCUGCCCUGCUCUGACGUCACCUACACUUGCAGCAAGAGGAACCAGGCUGACAUGGACCAGUCAGAGGGAAAGAGGGCACAGAGGCCCUAGACUAGAAAAAAUUUCUCUCUUGUUUGGCCAAAAGGCUGGGUGUGGACAGAAUGGGAGACCAGGCAGCUUUCCUGGAAUAAGCAACUAUUUCUUUUGAUCCUCUGUGUUCUGGCCAUCUUUCUGGGGAACUUGAAAAAGUUUUCUGAAUUUAGGUUCCCAGUCAUUUCUAUACUUAGUCCUUAUUCUUGAUUGAAUCCAUUCUAGAACAAAAAGGCAAAUUUUACAGCAAUGUUGAUAAUCAGAGCUGUGUACACCAAGGAAAUGAAUACCUGUUAUCAAAAUGUUGGAAUCCUUCUCUAACACUUGAUAACAAACCCCUCCUCUGAGUCCCCAGCAUGUCGCUACUGCCACCGUGGCCACCCUGGCCCUAUUCCUAAAAUCUUUUGCAUCACCCCAUAUGGCAGCUCUUAAAGAAGCAACGUCUGGCCUCAGUAGAACGUGCCCCACAGUCCUGCUUCACCACCCCAUGACCGAUGUUCUUUCUAAUUGGCUGGUUCUUGGCUUUUAUAGCUAAGUUUAUUGCAUAUUAGCCUUGUAUAAAGAUCCCAGAAAAUAACAGGCAUGAAUCAAGUGGGCGGGUGUAGCACAAUGGGAAGUAAUGGGAAAUGUGGGAACCUGGAGGGCUCCCACCUCUUAAAGAAGCAGUUGCUAUGUUGUCGUUGCCAUGGGGGAAUGUAGGCUGAAGGUGCUAAAUCUUCUGUACUUCAAGAGAAACCAGAAAUUGUGCUUUUAAUAAAAAAUCUCUGAUUUCUUAACAUUGAGGUACCAUCAGUGUUGGCCUGCUAUUGUGUGGGCCCAGCUAGACUGGAUAGGCUCCAUGUGUCAUGAGUUUGCAACCCUGCUUUAAGCAUGUGGAGUUGUCAGAGCCUUCUUAUGCCUCACUCAUGAAACAGGCCAGAGGGAAGAUGCGGCCCUAUGGCUGGGUAAUUAAAUAUAAUUUCAAAUUGAAACUUUGAAGCAGUAAGUGAAAUUUAUAAUUACAGCAAUCUCCUUUUUUACUGUACUUUAGAUUUUGCCAAGUGUUAUCAAAUAUGGCAUUUGAGGCUUUCCCUGAUAAUCAGGGUACUACUAUGUGUUUUAAGAGUUGAAAAAAUCCACAUGGAAAGAUUAUGAAAAUUGCCAAAUAGCAUCCAGAUAUAUUCAGAAUUGGGUCUUCACUUUAGUACCAUUGAAUUGAUCCUUCCAAAACAUUUGUUUAAAAUGUCUAUUAUACCUUCAGUCUUAUAGAUAUACCAGAUGUAACACCAGGUAAUUAUUCUAGAACGAUAGCCUUUUGGACCCUAUUUCUCAUACUCAUUUGAAGUGAUCCAUCAGUAUAUGCAAAACAUGUCAUGAAGGUCAAAACAUGUGUUUGGAAUAGAUUACAUUAUUGUUACCAGCUCUUUAAUAAAAUUAUACAUCAAGUUCUUAGCCAUGUGAACUUUAAGUUCUUUCAGAGUGAUCAGAGCAGAAUUUCUUUGGCGAAUGGCCGGGGGUGGGAGUCAUGUGCCAGUCCAUAGCGGAGGGUUAAGAGGCAUUCAGUGUUUUCACUGUGUCCCCUUCAGCUUCUGUAAUUUGCUCUAAGAGGAGAUUGUCCUAGUUCUCUAUUCCUGCUUCACCGCAGAUGGACACAUAUGGUGCAGACACAGACCUGACCUAGAGCCUGGAACCACAUCCAGCUCAACUCAGCAAGGUCAGCAGAAACCCAGAUGACCCACUGGGCCAUAGGCAAGAAAAUAAAAAUGUGUUAAUAUAAUCUCCUGAGAUACGAGAGCCAGGGGGUUGUUUGUCAUGUGGCAUUAUUGAAGCAAUAUCUGACAAGGUUUUUAUAACCAUCUUAGUGUAAAUAAUAAUAUCCAUGCUUAGACCAUGAAAGAUUCAUCUUAACCAUAGACAAAAAUCUCAGCUAGCUCAAUAAGGAGAAUAUAUGCUUUUGGAGUAGUACAGCCUUUCUUCUUCUAAACUGGUAUUCCCAGUGUUGAUUGGAUAAAGAACUAAGGAAAGAAAAUGGAAAGUAAGAAACCACAUUUUCUUAAAAAUGUAAUGAAAUUGAGAUAGAAAGUGAUUAAUGACCUUGGAAAACAACAGUAUUGAAACACUGUUGCUGAUCCUGGAUAAGGUUGACCAUUACUAAGGAAAAACUAUGGAGUCCUUUGUUUGUAAAAGCAAAAACAAACACAAACACAUUUCUAAUUAAUUUUAUUAGUACAUUUUAGGUAUACAGUAUGACAUUCAUCAUUGGCGAUUUGCACCUUUACAUAAUCUAUAUUGGUUCUUCUUUUUCCCCCUUCCCCUGCCCUCCCUUCAACUCCUCCAAAUCACCCCCCCAUUUACAAAGACUUUGUUUCCUUUUUUUCUUUUUCUCAUAUUACACUUUUGCUUUUUACUGGUUGAAUUAUUUCCACUUCCUAUUGAUUGAAACAAGCUUUCUCUCUUUUACUUUUGUCAGCUUUCUUGAACUAAAAUGAAAAUUGUGUCUCAGAGAAUCUGAGGGAGAGCCAUCAGUUAUUUUUAACCCAAGCUAUGCUUCAGAAUCACCUAGGAAACUUUUCUAAAUUCUAGUUGCCUGGCAUCUCUCGCAGAAAUUCUGAUUUAAUUGGUCUGAGUAGAGCUGGGCUAAUGUACGUGGGGAUCCACCCCCCACCCCUGUGAUUAUCAUGUGCAGCUGGAAUUGAAAAUCAUUGUCCUUACAGGAGACGGGAGAUGGUUAAUGACAAAGUUAAUAAAAAUAUCCUUACAGUAAAUGAGAACAAUUUCUCUAUUUUUUAUUGUAGUAAAAUCCACGUAACACAAAGUUUACCAUCUUAACCACUGCAAGUGUACACAGUGGUAUUAAAUAUAUGCAUCAUGUUGUGCCACCAUCUGUCACCUGAAGUCUUUUCAUCUUGUAAAGCUGAAAUUCUGUACCCACUCCCUGAUUCUGCCAGCCCCUGGCAACCACCAUUCAUUCCACUUUCUGUCUCCAAGAUUCUGACUACUCUAAGCACAUUGUUUAAAUGGAAUCAUGCAGUACAGGUACUAGUGGGAGAUACUGCAGGUUCAGUACCACACCACUACAACGAAGUAAAUGUCUCCGUGAAGUAAGUCAAACAAUUCUUUUGGUUUUUCUAGUGCAUACAAAUGUUAUGUUUACACUCUAUUAUUUAUUAAGCAUCCAAUGGCAUUUUGUCUAAAAUAUGUACAUAUAUUAAUUUUAAAAUAUUUUAUUGCUAAAAAAUGCUAAUGAUUAUCAGAGCUGUUGGAAAAACAUUUUUUAAUGUGCUUCUUAGCCAUUUGUAGAUCUUCUUUGGGGAAGUGUUUAUUCAGUUGUGUGUUUUUUGUGUUGUUGAGCUUUAGUAGUUCAUAUUAUGGAGAUUAAGCCUUUAUCAGACAUAUUAUUGCAAAUAUUUUCUUUCUGUCAGUAGCUCUUAGGGUUUGUGUCUAGAUGGCCCCCCAAAGCUUCAGGCAGUCAUAGAGCUUUUUCAGAGGUAGCUGCAUCUAGAGUGUGUGAUGCUGGGAUUAAGGGUGUGCGAUUACUAAACCAGUCAACGGAUUAGUUUGGUACUUUCCUAAUUCAGGUAGUCUGGAUAAAAUGAAAGGGGCAGAAAGAGGAUGUUAAGGCUCCCGUUGCUUUGCUACCUUCGGUCCACCAUGAACUGUUGCCCCUCUGCCAUGCCAGCCUGCCGUGGAGCCAUUGUGGACUGAAGUCUCUACAAACUGCAAGGAGAAAAAGAUGAAAGUCAAAGAUGUUCCCAGGUUACACAGCUGAAAGUGAGGAAGUUGGUGGUUUCCUGACUCAAGAGAGUGGAGAAGACUGAACCCAAUGAGGCACUGAAAUGAAUUGGCUGCAACUUCUAGAAGGGAUCAUGCAUUUCUGAUUUUGAAGACCCUUAACCGAGACCUGCUUCUCUGUUUGGCCUGGAAGUGUAUGAGUAGACUCCUGGAAGGAGUCUCCUUGGAGGCUUACUGGGCAACUCUUUGUAUCACAAUAUAUCCAAAGGAGAAGGUUAAUGAAAAAUGACCUCAAUUUUAUAUUGGCAAGACUACCAAGGACUCAAACCCCUCAGGACUGAAGAUCAAAUCUCCUGGAGUAAAAUCUCUACCCAGCUGAGGCACUGUCUAAAGGUGGAAGAAAGACAGGAUGUAUGGCCAUGAAAGACAGUGAUCUCUGUCUUCUUUUUCUUUUUUCUGUUUUUUAAUUGGUUUUGUUUCUUUCCUUCUUAAAUAGAAGAAAAAUUACUACAAUCAUCGCUGGUUUAAUAAUCCCUUUUUCCAAGCCUAUAUAUUCAGUGUAUUACUGGAGGUUAUUGCUACCAUUUAGCCUGUCGGCUGUGAAAUGGUGAGAAUUAAAGGAUAGAUAGGAAUAUAUAAGUCUAGAGGGGGAAUUAGCAUUACCUGGAGUUUGUUGAUGAUGAAGAAGAAGUCUUUAGAGGAUCUUUACAAAAGCACAAUUAUUGAAUGCAAUGGCUUUAUGGAUUUUGAGUUUCUUAGUAUGGAUAAGAUAAACGCAUUAAGAUUAUCUGUAUGAUCAUGUGAGAUGAUGGUAUCUGUAGAACUAUUGGUAAGAAAGCCAGUUCAGAAUAAUUUUCAGCCACCUAAUUUGCACACAGUCUAUUUCAAUUCUCCUUAGGCAACCUAUGUGAUCCAGUCAAAUGAACCAUCCUUUUAAAUAAGGCAUUACUGUAUCCGGCUGGUUUGGGGGGAAUAGUGCUAAAAAGCAAGAGGGGUAAAAGGACAACAGUCUUCUGUUAGUCCCACAUCCUUGGUUCCAAGGUAGAAUUCCUGGCUCACAUUCUUGCUCAGAAUGCACGUUGCAACAGAUUGAUAGCAAUGAUACCUCUAGAACCAAGACUGGAUAUUGCUUGGACUUCACUAUCAGUUGGUUGUCACAGCUAGUUUCCCUCUUUAGCUGUGACUGCAUUACCCAGGCUUCCUACUCUUGGAGGCAAGUAUUGUCUCUGGAACCAGAAGUGGUCUCGUAACUGAGUAGAGAUGCAUUUCAUACCCUGCUCUCAAAAAUGAGCUGAAGUGGGCUGGGGAUUUAGCUCAGUGGUUUCGCCACCUGCUGUGCAAGCACAAGGACCUGAGUUCGAUCCCCAGUACCCCCCCAAAAAAAGAGCUGAAGUACUGUGGAAUCCAUGCAUGGGACACAGAACUAGAUGAUUAAGAAGAAUUUGCUAGGUGGGAGCAAAGGGUAAUAGCAGGCAUUUGGUACUCUACCACUUCCUAUUGCAUCUGAGCCCUAGGCCAGAGGUCUUCCAACUUCUGCAGCUGAUUUCCCUGAUUCAGACACCAACAACCUCCAGUUUAGGUACAAAACAACAUGAUGAGCUCACAGAUCACUGGAAGCUGGACCUUGGUUUUCCAGAUUUCUCCUGCUCCUAAUCUGUCUGUACCUUUAUUUGAGAAAUCCUGAUCUGAGUCAUUAUGCAGACGUCUAUGCAGUGAAUAAGCCCAUCUCUGUAGGUGUUUCAAAAAUUCAGUUCAACCAAUACUUAUUAAGAGCCUCCUAGGUUCCAAGCUGUGUCUUAGAAACCGCAGAUAUGAUGAUGAAUGGCUCCAUGAAAGCUUCUACUUCCAGAUUUCUCAUUGUUCAGAAUGGGACAGAGUACAUUUCUGCAUUACAUUAUCUUUCAUGGUCUGGGUAUUGUGCUGGGCUUGUCCUACAUAUUUAUCAAUUUUAUCUUCACAUGAAUUCUAUAAAUAAAUUUUAUUCUCACUUCACAUUCUAGGAAAGGAAGUCCUAAGAGGUUAAUUAACUAGCCUAAGGUCCCAAAACCAGUAACAAUAUGAGAAAACAUGUACCUGGCUGUUCUCACUUUAGAUUCAAGCUACCACUAGUACCCCUUGCUGCCAGCCUCACAGGUAGCAAUCUUUUCAUGUAUGUUCUGUGGGUUAGAUGUAUCACUUUACCUCCACAUGAAGCCUUAGAAAGUAUUACUGCAAUUUUACAGAUAAAAACCCAGCAUUACAGAGGCAACAAUAUAGAUGACGAAGUAAUGAGAUUGAUAGAAUUACAGUCAAAACUAAAUACCACUGCUGUUUGAACAAAGUUGUGGAGUGGUGGGGGGGAAAAGAUAAAGGGGGACUGUGACCAUCUAGUUUCUCUUCUUGAAAUGUGUCAUUUAAUUGAAAAUGAAAGUCUGGCCCCUGUAUCUUAGAGUUCUUAAGUAUCCACAAAUGCCAUUAAAUUGAAUGGUAACUCAGAAUAGACAGAAACUUUAUCCUCGGAAGGAUAUCCUGGAAACCUUAACCCAAGAUGAACCCUGUUAUUCUAGUAUCCUUGGAUGGUGCUUUGAGUUCUCCUUAACUUUAACUAAAUAUGACUAUUUUAAGAAAGAGAUGGGAACCCAAAUAUUCUUGCUUUAUAUAUCUCAAAGAGUAUAAGAAUGGAGUGAAACAUGGAUUUGAAAGCAAAGGAAUAAGAAAAGAAUGAAAGGAAUUCACAAAUAAUAUCAUCUUCAACCUUGGUAUCUAUUAAUCCACCUGAUUUCUUUAGCAGUAUCCAUAAGCCAAGAGUAUCGGUGAAUCUCCUGUUUCCCCAAAACAUAGAACAGUGAUGGUGAAUCUAUGGCAUCAGCUGCAGCAAGCUGUUUGUUAUAAGUGAAAGUUCUAAAGGGUUCGCCAUCACUAGCAUAGAAGACCACUUUAGAACCUCAUAUACUCAAUUCUGUCUUCUUCCAUCCAUCCGAUAGUUGAAAGAACUUUUGACAGUGUUUAUGUUUCUCAUCAUUAGAAAUCAGUGCCAUAUAUAAUUUUCAAAUGGAGCUGCUGAUUAGCAUGAGACAUAGAUUAACUUAGAUGAAGCAAUUAAAAUUAAAGGCUAAGAGACUUGACAUUUUAGUUAGCCUUAGUAACACUUUGGUGGGAGGCUUGAUGCAUUUAUGACAUCCUCUGGAAAUACAGAAGAUACACAUAGAGUUCUGAUUUCUGACUUGCUCAGCAGGGGGCGAAACCACUGAGCUAAAUCCCCGGCAAAAGGGACAUUUUUUUUUUUUUUUUGGUACCGGGGAUCGAACUCGGGACCUUGUGCUUGUGAAGCAGGCAGCAGAAAAAAUGCUAAUCUUUUUUUUUGUACCAAGGAUUGAACUUGGGACCUUACUCUUUCGAGACAAGCACCAGAACCACUGAGCUAAAUUCCUGCCUUGACUUGCUUCUCCUUAGGAAUUGCAGAUUCAAAGGAACUGGGGUGCCUGGAAGUUGGAAAGUGGACGUUAAGAUGCCCACAGGUUCUGUUGUCUGGUGAGGCCUACAUGCUCUGGAGGGGUAGAGCUCUGUGUCUUCACAGGGCAGAAGGUGAAAUCGAGAGGACAAACUUCCUUUUAUAAAAGCAUCACAUUCCAUGGGGGGGGGUGCUUUGGCUUUAUCCCCCUGCAGAGGCCCCAGGCCUAAUGCUAUCACAUUGCAAUACCUGAAAUUGGAAAGGACACAUUCAAGCAACAGUAC
rnacentral:lncRNA from 1 species